UCCGGAGGAUGCAAGCGUUAUCCGGAAUGCUUGGGCGUAACGCGUCCGCAGGUGGCUAUGUAAGUCUGCUGUUAAAGAGUGAGGCUCAACCUCAUAAAAGCAGUGGAAACUACAUGGCUAGAGUGCGUUCGGGGCAGAGGGAAUUCCUGGUGUAGCGGUGAAAUGCGUAGAUAUCAGGAAGAACACCGGUGGCGAAAGCGCUCUGCUAGGCCGCAACUGACACUGAGGGACGAAAGCUAGGGGAGCGAAUGGG
rnacentral:rRNA from 1 species